ACACCUCUCCUCGGGGAGAGGUCGAAAUCGCGACGCGAUUUCGGGUGAGGGG
rfam:Inquilinus limosus MP06 Ilimosus_MP06_contig00189, whole genome shotgun sequence.